rnacentral:rRNA from 1 species
ACGCUGGAAGUCCCAGACUUGCUGGGGUGGAUGAGUGGCGAACGGGUGAGUAACACGUGGGUGAUCUGCCCUGCACUUCGGGAUAAGCCUGGGAAACUGGGUCUAAUACCGGAUAUGACCUUCCCUUUGGUUGGGGUUGGUGGAAAGCCUUGUGCGGUGUGGGAUGAGCCUGCGGCCUAUCAGCUUGUUGGUGGGGUAAUGGCCUACCAAGGCGUCGACGGGUAGCCGGCCUGAGAGGGUGUACGGCCACAUUGGGACUGAGACACGGCCCAGACUCCUACGGGAGGCAGCAGUGGGGAAUAUUGCACAAUGGGCGCAAGCCUGAUGCAGCGACGCCGCGUGGGGGAUGAAGGCCUUCGGGUUGUAAACUCCUUUCGCCAGGGACGAAGCUUUUGUGACGGUACCUGGAGAAGAAGCACCGGCUAACUACGUGCCAGCAGCCGCGGUAAUACGUAGGGUGCGAGCGUUGUCCGGAUUUACUGGGCGUAAAGAGCUCGUAGGUGGUUUGUCGCGUCGUCUGUGAAAUC